rnacentral:lncRNA from 1 species
AAUCCUUGUGAUAUUUUUAGUUUUAUGUUGUGAAUUAUUCUGUUUCUUUCAAAGGCAAGAGCUCAGUACGCUACUGUUCAUCAGAAAUAUUUGGAAGUGCAAAAGUUGCAUGAAGAAAUAAAAGAAGAAUGUGGAAAAAAAAGACUAUAUAUGUUUGAGCAAAUAGAAGCUGAUGAGGCUACAUUAAACCAACUUAGGGAUGAGUUAAAAGAAACUGAUGAGUUUUAUGCUGACAUCAAUAACAAGAUACAUAGAUUGAGGGAGGAAAUACUGGAAAAUGAAAAUCUCCUUGAAGAACUAAUCAAGCAAGAAGCAGAUAUAAGAGCUGACUUAAAUUCUUGGCGUGAUAAAGAAAGGCAUUUGAAGUUCAAAAUUUCAAGACAACAAAGUGAUAACAAACAAUUGCUGGAUGAGUUUUUGAAAGAGAUGGAGGUUAUUGAAAGCUCAGUAAGUUUUGGAAUUCACACAUUUAAAAUGUUUUUCCUUUCAACUUAUGCCAUAUUAAAUUGCGUAUUUUCAUAAUUAUUUAUAUGCUAUCUGUAGAAAUGCAAUAAAGAAUAUGAUCUACAAAAACUGAAGGAUAAGCUUGCAAAUAAUCUUCAGCAGUUCACCAGUUUGCAAAAUGAAAUCCAAUAUCUUAAAAAUGAAAAUGCCGGAUUUAUGUUCAAAUUCAGAGACAGGUAAGUGGCACUGUGUUAAUGCCCAAUAAGCUUACAUUCUGA